GAUGAACGCUGGCGGCGUGCCUAAUACAUGCAAGUCGAGCGAACAGACGAGGAGCUUGCUCCUCUGACGUUAGCGGCGGACGGGUGAGUAACACGUGGAUAACCUACCUAUAAGACUGGGAUAACUUCGGGAAACCGGAGCUAAUACCGGAUAAUAUAUUGAACCGCAUGGUUCAAUAGUGAAAGACGGUUUUGCUGUCACUUAUAGAUGGAUCCGCGCCGCAUUAGCUAGUUGGUAAGGUAACGGCUUUCCAAGGCAACGAUGCGUAGCCGACCUGAGAGGGUGAUAGGCCACACGGGAACUGAGAAACGGUCAAGACUCCUACGGGAGGCAGCAGUAGGGAAUCUGACGCAAUGGGCGAAAGCUUGACGGAGCAACGCCGCGUGAGUGAUGAAGGUCUUCGGAUCGGAAAAAUCUGUUAUUAGGGAAGAACAAAUGUGUAAGUAACUAUGCACGUCUUGACGGUACCUAAUCAGAAAGCCAUGGCUAACUACGUG
rnacentral:rRNA from 1 species